UUCACUCCUGUGUGUUUAUUGACACAAGCGCACCGGACACGAACUCACUGUCCUUUGGAGACAACAAUUUCUGGUGACCCAGAUGGGACCCUAGCUGACUGCCUUGCCCGGUCCACCACUUUGGCUCCGGCAACAACUGUGGACGGCGCGAGGGCCAGGCACCACCGACCUUAUUCGUCGGAGGUCUGACCGUCUCCUGGUUGCCUGACGGAGUCGUGGAGGGGUACAAUGGCGCAACGCUUGAAGGACCAACUUAAUCGGGCGGGGCGAGGGAGGUUUCAACGGACUGGUCCUUCCCAUGGGAACAGCACUGAGAGAGAGUGCAUUUGGCAUCUGCCUUUCACCCUCUUCAACGUGGGGACAUCCUACAACACCUUUGUGGCUACAAGUUCCAGACCUCCAGCAUGACGGGGCUCCAGCACUGUGCCCUGACCUGUCGGCAGUGGAUUGAUAACCAUGUGUCCUUCCAUAUAUUUCGAUGUGAUAUUUUUCUCUGUCUCUCUUAGUAAAGGUGGUUCUUGAUGAAUGUG